CAGCAGCCACGGUAACACGUAGGGGGCGAGCGUUGUCCGGAUUCAUUGGGCGUAAAGAGCUCGUAGGCGGCUCAGCAAGUCGGGUGUGAAAACUCCAGGCUCAACCUGGAGACGCCACUCGAUACUGCUGUGGCUAGAGUCCAGUAGGGGAGCGUGGAAUUCCCGGUGUAGCGGUGAAAUGCGCAGAUAUCGGGAGGAACACCAGCGGCGAAGGCGGCGCUCUGGGCUGGAACUGACGCUGAGGAGCGAAAGCGUGGGGAGCAAACAGGAUUAGAUACCCGUGUAGUCCCUGUCUCUUAUU
rnacentral:rRNA from 1 species